UCGUACAAGAAGGUAAUCGCCAAGGCGA
rnacentral:sRNA from 1 species